UUUGUGGACACGUGUGUCCCCCACCUAACCCCACUACCCAUCAUUCUCAUCCACUCAAUUUCACCCACAUCCCUUCUCUCUUUGGCCGGCUCUCUCUCCUUUCUUUCUUUCUUUCAUUUUCUCUAUUUUCUUUUCAUUUUGCUGAAACACACACACACUCACCCGCCUGCCUCCACUCCAAAAUACACUAUCUCACCAUCAUUUUUCCGGCAAGAUCACCGGAAAAAUACUUAGGAACUCCAAAGCAUCUUCAUUAUUUUAUUUGAGAUUCUAGCUAAUUUCCCUUGGAGCUUGGAGAAUUAGGAUUAUGCGGUUGCGAGAGUAGGCAACAAUCUUUUGAGACAUCUUUUUGGUGGCUAAUAGUAGUUAGACUAACUACUGAUGGAGGCUGAAUUUUUGUGUAAUGGAUAUAUUAGAUGGUGUACAUCUUAGACUAGGCUUGACUCAUUCUUUUGUAUAUUAUAGUGGUUGUGACUGUAUUUCCACUGAUGGGACAAGCUGUUGUUAUGUAAUUGUUGUUUUCAGACCUCUAUUCUUUUGUGACCUAUGGUCCUUGUAAUUAAUACUUAGAGCUCUGACUUACUCUGAAAGUAUAUUCUAUGGGAUGAUUAUGAAAA